UACAGAGGGUGCAAGCGUUAAUCGGAAUUACUGGGCGUAAAGCGCGCGUAGGUGGGAAGAUAAGUUGGAUGUGAAAUCCCCGGGCUUAACCUGGGAAGGUCAUCCGAAACUGUUUUUCUAGAGUACAGUAGAGGGAAGUGGAAUUUCCGGUGUAGCGGUGAAAUGCGUAGAUAUCGGAAGGAACACCAGUGGCGAAGGCGGCUUCCUGGACUGAUACUGACACUGAGGCGCGAGAGCGUGGGGAGCGAACAGG
rnacentral:rRNA from 1 species